rnacentral:tRNA from 1 species
UACAUUUUAAUAUAAAAAGUAUAAAAAUUUUUGGAAUUUUAAGUAAUAGUUUAAAUCUAUUAAAUGUAA